AUUGAACGCUGGCGGCAUGCCUUACACAUGCAAGUCGAACGGCAGCACGGGUGCUUGCACCUGGUGGCGAGUGGCGAACGGGUGAGUAAUACAUCGGAACAUGUCCUGUAGUGGGGGAUAGCCCGGCGAAAGCCGGAUUAAUACCGCAUACGAUCCACGGAUGAAAGCGGGGGACCUUCGGGCCUCGCGCUAUAGGGUUGGCCGAUGGCUGAUUAGCUAGUUGGUGGGGUAAAGGCCUACCAAGGCGACGAUCAGUAGCUGGUCUGAGAGGACGACCAGCCACACUGGGACUGAGACACGGCCCAGACUCCUACGGGAGGCAGCAGUGGGGAAUUUUGGACAAUGGGCGAAAGCCUGAUCCAGCAAUGCCGCGUGUGUGAAGAAGGCCUUCGGGUUGUAAAGCACUUUUGUCCGGAAAGAAAUCCUUGACUCUAAUACAGUCGGGGGACGACGGUACCGGAAGAAUAAGCACCGGCUAACUACGUG
rnacentral:rRNA from 1 species